UGACCGAAUGAUCUCCUUUCAGAUGUGGCUCAACUCAGGGGCCUACCGGGUCGACGAUGGAGCCGGCUCCUUCCCCCUCUGCAGCGCUGGCCGUACCGCGAGGCUCCAGCGUCACAUAACCAGUCCUGGGGAGUUUGGACGCGUCCCAGGGUGAACAAAGGUUCUCGUGCUGAUGGAUUCUUCUAUCCGCUGGAGGCUUCCUGUUCUGUGCUCCACUGAGAAAUCUUCAGAGUAAAGAAGAGGUGCUAUCACCAGUGGCCUGCUUGUUGAUUCAAAGGUCCAGCACCUUGGAGCCCAGAGUGAUUCCAGGGAAACGAAGGUGAAUUCCAGGCUGAAGCUACUGGUCUGAAGAAAGAACAGAUGCAUGUAAAUAAAUGGACUCCAGUAUUGCAGGAUGUCAGAAGUGAAAUCUUCAAAUCCCCCUUCCUAAUAAAGCUGCUUUCCUUCUUAA